AACGAACGCUGGCGGCAUGCCUAACACAUGCAAGUCGAACGAGACCUUCGGGACUAGUGGCGCACGGGUGCGUAACGCGUCGGAACCUGCCCUUAGGUUUGGAAUAACUCUUCGAAAGGGGUGCUAAUACCGGAUAAUGUCCUCGGAUCAAAGAUUUAUCGCGUUUGGAUGGGCCCGCGUUGUAUUAGCUAGUUGGUAGGGUAAAAGCCUACCAAAGCGACGAUACAUAGCUGGUUUGAGAGGAUGAGCAGCCACACUGGGACUGGGAUGCGGCCCGGACUACUGCAGGAGGCAGGAAAGGGGGAUAUUGCAAUAUGGGGUGAGGCCUGAUCGAGCAAUGCCGGGUGAGUGAUGUAGGUCUUAGAGUAGUAAAGCUGUUUUACCCGCGAUGAUAAUGACGGUACCGAGAGAAUAAGCACCGGCUAACUCCGUG
rnacentral:rRNA from 1 species